GCCCUCGCCCAAGGGUGAGCGCGCGCCUGCGCCACAGAGGCUGCCUGGCCGCGCGCGCAGGCGCAGGCGCAGGCGCAGGCGCAGAGGCCGACACCACCGGGCGGCUGGUAUGUGUCCACCGGCCCCUAGGCUCCUCGAGCCCCGUCCCUGGGAGACGCAGGCUCCUGCCCGCGGAGCUGCUCCGAGACCCGCGGGAGGGCACCUCCGGUCACCCGAGCCGCAAAUCCCCGCCGUCCGAAGAAGGUGUCGCCCCGGGCUGGCGGCCCAGCGUGGCUUAGGCCAGACCCCGAUCCAUCGACACCCCAAGGAAAUGCUGUGCACAAAAUUCCAAGAGGGCCUUUUCGAAUAGACGCAUGAACGGUGUUUGUGUCUGGAUCGUCCAGCCUCCCGGGAUCGAUUGGGAAUCUAGCUUCUGCUUGCCUUUCCAGUGCGACGCACAGUAGGAGCCUAAUAAAUGUUUGUUGAAUGAAUGCUGAAUAUCGAA